rnacentral:rRNA from 1 species
AUACGUAGGGGGGCGAGCGUUAUCCGGAAUUAUUGGGCGUAAAGAGUGCGUAGGUGGUUUUGUAAGCGCGAGGUGAAAGGCUAUGGCUCAACCAUAGUAAGCCUUGCGAACUGUGAGACUUGAGUGCAGGAGAGGAAAGUGGAAUUCCUAGUGUAGCGGUGAAAUGCGUAGAUAUUAGGAGGAACACCAGUGGCGAAGGCGACUUUCUGGACUGUUACUGACACUGAGGCACGAAAGCGUGGGGAGC